CUAUUCACUCAUGGCAGUGUUCUGAAGAGGGGAAUGAAGACUACGUCAAUAGGAACUGAUUCACCGACAUCACAUUCAAUCAGGAGCCAGCUGGUGGUAUCAAAUUAGGUUUUAUUCGUUUGACAAAGUUUCUGACAUUUGUUGUCUUGACGCAGGUCAGCAACCAGCUCUUAGUUAGAGUGAGAAUGCCUACUUCAAUGGCGGCAUGUUUUGACAUUCUCCCGUAUCUUUUUCAGGAAUAGCAUUUCCUUCAUGACUUCGGUAAUUCCAAGAGGGAAUUUGUUGGGUGUGGUAUGAUAUGCCUCUACGGGACGGGCUUCGAUGGCUUCAUGAUAGUGCGUUGCGUGGUUCGUCAAGUCCUGAUAGUGGCAAGCGCUAGUGGAGAAUUUCUUACUGGGAGAGAAGUGAACGAUUGAGUGAUGUGAUUCUAACAUGUGGCCAUAAACUCUCGCGGAUUGGCGCUCAUCAGCUUUUUGAAAACCCUAAUCGAUAUCGGUAGUACAUACCAGAGUUUCAACUGUUAUGUGUGAAUUGGUUAGCUGAGGUGCAGUUUGAUGACAUGGUUUCGACGUUUUAUCGUGUAAUCGAGGAGUUCAUAACUUAUGGUGAUUUCGACCGGGACAGUUUACUUUUGCAGGGCAUUGAUGGAUUGAAUAUUUAUGGCGAUGCCUUCAAGGAUGAUAGUUUCAAGUGUAAGCUGUUGGUACAAGCUCCUGACGCUAGCCAUGUUUGCAUUUCAUUUCUAACUUCUUCAAAGUGGUCAAGAUUUAUUCAUGACUUAGAUUACUAGAUUGGUGUGCACUGUGAAACAUAAUGGUGAGGCAGUAUUGAGUAUGGUAAAACGUGGACUCAAUGCCAGUGGAAACCAGUCUUCAUCUGGACUAUAAAUGUAUACGAAAGGUCUAUCACUUCUGUAGCGCAGUUUGCUAUUCCUGACUCUGUGUAGGAGGUUCUUAGAAAAUGUGGGCAUAGUGGCAGUCCAGAUGCAAUGAAGAACUUUGAAAUUCGUAGUUACUUUUGAAUGUUUUGUUUCAAGAGAGGAAUUUCAAGUCGGAAUCCUCGUUGUUUUGGAUGUUUGAUAAUAUGGAGCUACGCCGGACAUAGUUGACAACAGCUUCAGAUGAUCUGGCCUGUGUACUUUUGCCACUGAGUAUAACAGGUUGUGUUAUCACAUUUCAUACUCUGAUAAAUCACCGUUUGGCGGCUUCUGCUAACGUCGUGGCUGAAUGUCAAACAUAUUGUGAUUGGACAAUAAUUGAAGAUAUGAACAUGGUGAAGGCAAUUUAGGGGCAAAAUACUGAUCGGAACGACAGAUCCAGAAAUGAAUGUUAUUUCUAUUAUUUUAUUAUAUUAUAUUUUUUUAUAGAUAUCGCGAAGUUUUAGAGAUGCUGCAGGAACUUGCUUCCGCUGAACUUCAUUGAUAAUGUAGCAGCUUUGGUAGAUGUUCUUUAGGGUUAAAAAUUGUAUUUUUAGUAACAGCCACCUUUACGGUCUUAGAACUCCGUAGUUUGUGCACUGUCAAGGCAUGUUGGCUUGCUCGACUCCUUUCUUUACACAGCCAAUAAUGCUUCAGGACAAUGUUUAACAUGAGACUUGCGCAAAGCUCGGAAGGCGUAUGACUAUGUUACGUGUUUAAUUCA